AAUCAACGCUGGCGGCGUGCCUCAGACAUGCAAGUCGAACGAUUAAGACUUCCUUCGGGAAGUGCAUAAAGUGGCGCACGGGUGAGUAACACGUAAGUAAUCUACCUUUGAGUGGGGAAUAACCCGGGGAAACCCGAGCUAAUACCGCAUAAUGCAGCGGCAUCGCGAGAUGACAGUUGUUAAAGGAGCAAUCCGCUUAAAGAGGAGCUUGCGGCAGAUUAGCUAGUUGGUAAGGUAAUGGCUUACCAAGGCUACGAUCUGUAUCCGGUCUAAGAGGACGGUCGGACACACUGACACUGAAGAACGGGUCAGACUCCUACGGGAGGCAGCAGUCGGGAAUUUCGGGCAAUGGGCGAAAGCCUGACCCAGCAACGCCGCGUGAAGGAUGAAGUAUUUCGGUAUGUAAACUUCGAAAGAAUAGGAAGAAUAAAUGACGGUACCAUUUAUAAGCUCCGGCUAACUACGUGCCAGCCGCCGCGGUAACAC
rnacentral:rRNA from 1 species